GCCCCCUUAGCUCAGGGGACAGAGCACCGGCCUCCGGAGCCGGGUGCGGAGGUUCGAGUCCUCCAGGGGGCACCA
rnacentral:tRNA from 1 species